GGGGCAGCCCUCGUCUGUGCACCCCGGGAUGGGGCAGACCUCGGGGGCGGGGUCGCGGUCGCGCUCUCCCGCCACGCAGUGACGUCCGCGCUGUCUCCUUCCCCGCAGCCCCGCACACCGGACGCCAGCCCCGGCCCCGGCGGGGAGGCCUGUCCCGGGGCAGCCCGUGGCAGCGCGGCCCUUCCCGUGGCAGCCCUGCUGCAGCCGGAGGUGACGCCGGAGGAGCAGGCCCCGGGGGCUCCGGGCAGGACAAGUCCCUUGUGUCGUCCCGACUGGCACCGGGGCGCGGCGGGCGCCACGUAUCACCCAGCCGCCGCGGGAGGAGCCGGUGCAGCGCGGGGAGAUGCGGGGGCCGGCGGUGAUGCGGGCCAUGCAGCCCCCGUCUGGGGCCGGUUCCCCCACACACCCCCCAGCCGGGGCCGGGGCCGGGGCCGAGCUCCCCGGCCCAGAGCCCUGGCGCCAGCGCUUCCGGGGCCUGCGCUACCGGGACGCCCCGGGGCCGCGGGAGGUGUGCCGGCGCCUGCAGGAGCUGUGCCGGGGCUGGCUGGAGCCCCAGCGCCGCAGCAAGGAGCAGGUGCUGGAGCUGGUGGUGCUGGAGCAGUUCCUGGCCAUCCUGCCCCCGGGCAUGCGGAGCUGGGAGUGGGGGCGCAGCGUGCAGACCUGCGCCCAGGCCGUGGCCCUGGCCGAGGGGUUUCAGCAGGGGCUGGAGGAGGAUGAGAAACGCCAGGUGCCGGGACCCUGAGCAGAGCUGAGCAGAAGCGUCCUGGAGAAGAGCCUGUAACCCUGGAGCUGCACAGGACUUCCCCAGGGAGCCUGGAGGAGAGGGGCUCCCCGACACGUGAGCUGGGCCAACUGCAGAAGGGGCAGGGCAGGCCUCCAAGGCAAGAGCUCCGGGAGGUGUUUGAGGACGUGGCUGUGUACUUCACGAGGAAGGAGUGGGAGCUGCUGGAAGAUGAAGACAAGGUGCUUUACCGGGACCAGAUGCUGAAGAAUUUCGACGCCCUCAUUUCGCUGGACAGGGACUCUGCCACUGAACCGCUGGGGACUGCAGAGGAGGAGACGGAGAGGGGACUUAAUAGCAGCCUUCAACUACCUGAAGGAGGGUUCGAAAGAGGCUGGAGCUGGACUGUUCUCAGUGGUGCCAGAUGUCAGAACAAGGAGCAACUCUCUCAGGUUGCAGCAAGGGAAGUUUAGGUUCAAUAUUAGAACAGUUUUUUCACUGGGAGGGUAGUGGAGCAGGUUACCCAGAGAUAUGGGGGGGCUCUGUCCUUGGACGUUUUCAAGACUCGGCCAAACAAAGCCUUUCCUGGAAUGAUGUAGUUGGGGCUGGUCCUGUUUUGAGCAGGGGGUUGGACUCGAUGUGAGCUCCUGAGGUCACUUCCAGCCCCAACUUUCAAUGAUUCAGUGUGACCUCUGGAGCUUUGUAGUCUACUGCCUGCUGUUCAACAGUCUUACCCUCGAGCACUCUUGGCUGGUGGUUUCAGUCUUUCUCCCCACUGCUCUGUCCGUGAUCAGGCCUGUCUCACAUUUCACAUUGGUAGAUCCUCCUUCAUUUGAUCAACCCCCCUUCACUUGCGUCUUCACCAUUCUUGUAACUCCUGGUGCUUCCAGGUGCAGCAGUUCCUUGACAACAUGAUCUCCCUUUGCCUUCCCAGCGUGUUCAUAUCAUGUCUAGUUUGUUGUACAUAAAUGCACUAAGAGCUGUUCCUUGGGGAAAUGAUUCUGAUUUCUUGCCUCGCUUGUCCUCUCCAAGCUCAUUUAGCAAUCCCAGCAUGGUCAGUUGUGUGAUAUCUAAAUCCCCUUUUCUUCUCCUUUGGUUCUGCCCUAGCAGAAGUUGACCGUAGUCUUAUCAGCCACUCAUGCCACAGCCCGUGGACGAUGCGUUUCCUCAGCUCUUCCUCCAGUGACAGAUGUACAGGUGAUGGACCCCAGGUACUUCUACCAAGGGAUCACUGGAAGUUCACUGUCCACAUUCCUCCCUAAUUUCUUCCUCUUCGUACACCAGGGACUCUGGCUUUGCUGUACUUACUUUAAGACCUGUGCUCUCAAGCUCGCUCUGCCAUUCUCAAAAGUUUUCCUCUGCUCUUCCUAAAAUCGGUCUGCAGAUCAGACGCCCAUCGCUGUGAUUAGAAGUGGGCUAGGUGCAGGUCCUAGCGAAAACCAGUUUUCAUUUCCAGAGGAUCUCUAAUACAGGGACUUGUUCUGGCUUGUGCGCAGGGUUGAGGUACUUACCUUUUACUGGGUCAUUUUGCUUUUCCGAUGCUUUCUUUUCUCUCCACUCCCCCCCGCCCCCAAAGGAUUUCCUUAGGGAAGUGCUCAAAUGCCUUCUCUAGUUUAAUAAAGUGAAUAUAGACCAUAUCUACGUUUUGGCUGCCCACCUGUUCAGGGCUUCCCCCCCACCUCAGCUCGCCUGCCACGCUUUGAUGAAAAACAAUAUGAAUAUUGUUACUAAGGCAGGAGACUGCCCAUUUUUCAACCUCCCCUUACACGUGUCCCGUGCCUAAUGUUUUUAGGCCUAGCACCUGACCUCCCUUCUGGUGCACACACUGGGCCUUUACCAAUAUCUAAUUAAGUCUGCCUGGUCACAGGUAGUAAUCAAGCAUUCUCUUAUCCGGUAAUUCUGUUUCCUCAUGCACGUAAUUCUGCAUUCCCUGUUAGGUAAGUCUGCUCUCUCACCAGGGCCACUCAUCUCACAGCCCCUUCUGGGCUGCUCUAUGCUCCGACCCCCUUGCUAGGGCCACGGGGAUCUUCUACCGUAUGGGCUCAGGUGGCUGCUGCCGUACUGUUCAGUAUUGGUAACCUGCCUGUAGGCGGGGACAGGGGUAUUCAGGUGCCCCUCCUCGCCUUUCACCGGGGAGGUAACUGGCCUGGCAUUUCUUGGGGACUCCACAGCCACAGGGAGCCCCACCAGGCCACCCUUCCCCGGCAGGGUGCAGUUUUAGGUCAUACGCUGGACCAGGAGCCUCUAAUCAUCCCCAGUAGCUCCUGCCCUUAUUGCCAAGAUGUUUCUGAGCAGCCGCUCGGCCGGUGUUGUUGGGGGAAAACCAGAGCAAGGGACUGGUGCUUCCAUCUCUGAGGGCCUGGGUUAAAAUGGAGCCUCUUCCACCCUCUCAGCCGAUCCCAGGGCCUUCCUGGGGUCAUGUGCUAGCCUUGAUGAGGCUAGCACCCACUUGCAGGCUGCUUCACUGCCAGUUUGAAACCUUAAAGCAGAAGGCACUGCAGGUGCCCUCCUACAGUCUCCUUCUGCCUUUUGUUCAUAUCCCUAAGCCCCAGGAACUGCUUUCAACCCUGCAGUAUUUGCCAACCUGUGGACUCAUCUCCUUCUGGGAUGAUCCUCUCAUUGGAUGCAAUGAGUGCUUCAACAGCAAAUACAGUUAUAAUAAAAAGCAUCGUUUCCUGCGCCCUGGUGAUGAUGAAUUACCCUCUUUCCCAGAAAAAACCACUCAUUUUCAGCUACCUAUCAUGUGUGCUUUUCAUUGCCCCAAGUCCUCGCUUUAAACCUGCACUGAAAAUAAGCUCAUUUCCACUCCUUUGCCAGCUGACUUGUGGGUGUCCAGCCUCUCAAGCUGUUUCCUAACAAGAUCUUUGCCAAUUAUUGGCGUGUGUUCACCUGCAUCCUGGUAGUCCUGCGUCCUGUCAGGCAGGGUGAUUCCCUUGCGCUGGUGGAAAACUGACGCAAAGUAAUUGUUGAGGAGAUUAGCUUUCUCUUGGGUGUUGGUUGUCAGCUGCCCCAUCUGGUUCAGCAAGGGUCCCGUGUUUUUUUCUGACUUCCCACAUAUUUGAAGAAGGACUUUUUAUUGUCCUUGAUUCCCAUAGCCAGUCUGAGUUUGGUUUCCGCCUUGGCUUUUCUGGUCUGCUCCCUACAGGGCAGGCCAGUGCUACAUAAUCCUCCUCAGUGGUAGUUUCCAACUUCCAUCCCUUAUAAGCUUCUGUUUUCAGAUUCAGGAGGUCCACGAGUUCCCUUUUGAGACCAGGGAAUCUUCCAGCCCUUUUGCUACCUUUCCUACGGGCUGGAACUGACUUCCCUUGUGCUUUUAGGAUCAUGUCCUCAAGGAGCGACCACUCAUCAUGGACUCUGCUCCCUGUCAGAUCAUGGUCUCUUAGGGCCUCAACUACCAACCUCCUGAGCUUGUGAAAAUCAGCUUUCCUAAAGUCAAAGAUUUCUGCAUUGCUGACUGAUUUGCCAGCUUUGCAAUACAUGGAGGAAGUGAUCAACUCGUGAUCACUGUCACCAAGUUUCCCUUCGAUCCUCAGGUCACUGACUAGAUCAUCACCUUUGGCCAGUACCAGAUCCAGCACUGCCUUUCCUCUUGUCAGCCCGUAGACGUCUUGAGUCAAAUAGAGCUCAUCAAUGCAAGCGACAGAGCUUUGCGACUGAUCAGAUUUGGGUGAAUGCUCUUCCCAUGAGAUGUCAGGGUCAGAGACGAUCCGAGCAGGGUGGAGGACCUGGGUGAAAUCAGAGUGUGCAGGGCCCUGCCCCCGGACACACUGGAUUCAGUGGCAGAUUCGGCGGUGGAGGGGGUGGGGAGGCACUGCUGAGCAGCCAGACGUGAAGCUGGUGGCAGCACGGAGUCACUGCGCCGCGCUGCCCGGCUCCACGGGGCCUUCCAAAGCGCGGGGCCCGGGGUGGUUGCCCUGAUUCAGCCUCUCCUAGGGACAGCCCUGGUCAGGGUGGUUGAAAUCACCCAUGAUGACCAUGCACCAAGAUUUGUAGUGAAUCUGUAGUCAAGCUCUUCCUUUUGGCUAGAAGGUCUGUAAUAGCCCCUUCACCGUGUUAUUUCCACUUCCUAACUCAGAGGGUCUCGAGUCCCCCUCCUUGGGUGCUAAUCUCUGCUUGUAGGGAAGUGUACUGCUCCUUCACACAGAGAACUACAUCCCCGCCCUUCCUCACAACAAGAUCCCUCCUGUACAAUGCAUAGCCAUCAAUACCUCUGGUCUAGUCAUAGGUGGAGUCCCACCAGGCCCAGAAGGUCAGGCUGACCUGGAACCAGGAAGUGUUUCAUCACGGUCUCAGGCUGCAUUAGAGGGCUUCAUGGCACGGGUGGGAUUCAGAAGCUUCCGAGUUGUGGGCAGAAGUGACUCCCCAUGAUUUGGACCCGAAUUGCCCCCUUCAUGUUUCCUUUAUGCGGCCCUGAGUGUCACGAAGUCCGAAACUUGGCACAGAAUCCAGGUUCAGGCUCAUGCCUGACCUGGUGCAGACUCCUGUGACAUGGAGCCCACCUGGGACCUGUCAGCAGAGGAAAUCUCCAUGGGCUCAUCUCCUGCACCAGACCAUGCCCUGGAAGCAGGCAGGCAGCGCAGCCCUGCUCCUUUCAGAAGAGAGAGCCGUAGCUCUAAGCCCUUCCCUCCUCCUUAGCCCGUUACAGCGUGAAGCCAUUCAGGAGGCGCCUGGCUGCUGAGCAGAGCUGAGGAGCAACCUCCUGCGGAUGGGGCUGCAGACCUGGAGCCAGCAGGGACUUCCCCAGGGAGUUUGGCUGAGAUGGACCCCCUCACACCUGAGGAGGAUCAGUGGCACAAGAGUCAGGGGAGACCCCAAAUGCUGAAGGGGAAUGUAGUGGUGAACCAGCACUGACACACCCACCUGGGCAGGAAGACACACCGCUGCACUGAGUGCAGAAAGAACUUCAUCUGCUGGCAAGACCUGUCCCAGCACCAACGUGUGCAGCACCACGGUACCAAGUGUGGGAAGAGAUUCAAGCAGCUGUCCAACCUGGCCAGGCACUGGUGCAUGCACACAAGGGAGAAGCCACAUCAGUGCUCAGAGUGUGGGAAGAGCUUCACUCAGUCCUCUAACCUGGCCCAGCACCAGCGUACCCACACAGGGGAGAAGCCACAUCGGUGCUCAGCGUGCCGGAAGAGCUUCUGCCAGUCUUCUGACGUGGCCUGGCACCAGCUCAUCCACAGCACAGAGAAGCGACAUCAGUGCUCGGAGUGUGGGAAAAGCUUCACCCAGUCUUUCCAUCUGACCAGACACCGGCUCAUCCAUACAGAGGAGAAGCCACGUCAGUGUUCAAAGUGUGGGAAGUGCUUCCUCCACUUCUCCAAACUGGCCCUGAUGAAGCACCCCUGGACUUUCACUGCAUUUUAACCAGGGAACAGCUUUGUAUGUUUUGAAAAAGUAUUUUAUCUAACCAAGGGCAUAGAGUAGGUUGUUUAGGCUGGGGGAGAUUGCUUGUUGCGUAGUUGCUGAUUGCUGGCCUCACUAGAAGGAAAAGCUGUAUCAACAAAGUCCGGAGCUGGAAGGGGGGUUACUUGGGGGGGAGCUGGAAGGGGGGUUACUUGCUGGGCUUGCUAUACAUUUCAUCACAUCAGCAAGUUUAACCUGUUACGUAGCUAUAUAAGGCAGACGCCCACUGGGGUGUGGGUGCUUGCUUUGCGAACGAUUGCCAAGCACCACUUUCUGCGCAGAAAUAAAGAUUAAGUUGGAUCCUUCA